UUUGGUGAUCACAGCACAAGUGAAACACCCGGUCCCAUCCCGAACCCGGAAGUUAAGCACUGUCGCGCCGAUGGUACUGCGUCUCAAGACGUGGGAGAGUAGGUCAUCGCCAGAC
rnacentral:rRNA from 1 species